GACGAACGCUGGCGGCGUGCUUAACACAUGCAAGUCGAACGGAAAGGCCCUGCUUUUGUGGGGUGCUUGAGUGGCGAACGGGUGAGUAACCCGUGCGUAACCUGCCCUUGACUUUGGGAUAACUUCAGGUAACUGGGGCUAAUACCGGAUCGGAGCUCCUGCUGCAUGGUGGGGGUUGGAAAGUUUCGGCGGUUGGGGAUGGACGCGCGGCUUAUCAGCUUGUUGGUGGGGUAUUGGCUUACCAAGGCUUUGACGGGUAGCCGGCCUGAGAGGGGGACCGGCCACAUUGGGACUGAGAUACGGACCAGACGCCUACGGGAGGCAGAAGUGGGGAAUAUGGCACAAUGGGCGGAAGCCUGAUGCAGCAACGCCGCGUGCGGGAUGACGGCCUUCGGGUUGUAAACCGCUUUCGCCUGUGACGAAGCGUGAGUGACGGUAAUGGGUAAAGAAGCACCGGCUAACUACGUG
rnacentral:rRNA from 1 species